rnacentral:rRNA from 1 species
GUACACUCCUACGGGAGGCAGCAGUGGGGAAUAUUGGACAAUGGGCGCAAGCCUGAUCCAGCCAUGCCGCGUGAGUGAUGAAGGCCCUAGGGUUGUAAAGCUCUUUCACCGGUGAAGAUAAUGACGGUAACCGGAGAAGAAGCCCCGGCUAACUUCGUGCCAGCAGCCGCGGUAAUACGAAGGGGGCUAGCGUUGUUCGGAUUUACUGGGCGUAAAGCGCACGUAGGCGGACUAUUAAGUCAGGGGUGAAAUCCCGGGGCUCAACCCCGGAACUGCCUUUGAUACUGGUAGUCGUGAGUUCGAGAGAGGUGAGUGGAAUUCCGAGUGUAGAGGUGAAAUUCGUAGAUAUUCGGAGGAACACCAGUGGCGAAGGCGGCUCACUGGCUCGAUACUGACGCUGAGGUGCGAAAGCGUGGGGAGCAAACAGGAUUAGAUACCCCAGUAGUCC